rnacentral:lncRNA from 1 species
AUAAUAAGCUUGUGUAGGGUUCUUGGAGUCCAAUAUGACAAGACUGGUGUGUAUGACUGAGUAUAAGAAAGAUAAAAGCAACCCGGAUCCUGGUUGCUAAAGUAGAGUAGAUGCAAAACAAAAAAAAACUCAUAGGGACUUCGUCCACCCUUACAAAACUUGGGGAAGCCAUAAUAAGCUUGUGUAGGCUUCUUGGAGUCCAAUAUGACAAGAUUGGUGUGUAUGAC